AUCUGCUGCGGACAGAUAAAGUGAAUAUGUGUAUCAAUACCUCCAGCUGUCACAAUCAUGCCCUCACCAGCCAGAGCCUCUGUCGAUGCUCCAACUGUCAUUCCCGGUGUCACACCGUCCAUAAUUGCCAGAUUUCCGGCUUUUCCGAUUCCUUUGAUUUUUCCAUCUUUGAUUCCGAUAUCUGCUUUUAUAAUUCCUGUGUAAUCCAGAAUCAGUGCAUUGGUGAUCACAAGAUCGAGAUCACCAUCGCUGCUCUUUGUCUUUACGGACUGUCCCAUUCCGUCACG
rnacentral:sRNA from 1 species